AUCGAGUUUGGUUUUCGCUACUACGUGCCGCUCGCAAAGUGGCUGUCAUGUGUCCCAAUUUCAAGUUUAGCGUUUCAUAUCACAGCCAGCUUUGAUGAGCGGGACGUUUUGUGGCCUUGCUCCCCCCUCGG
rnacentral:pre_miRNA from 11 species